GGGGGCGUUACGGAUUCGACAGGCAUAGUUUGAGCUUGAAUGGCAUUCCGUAGGUUACGUCUACGUAAAAACGUUACAGUUAAAUAUAACUGCUAAAAAACAAAACUAUUCUUACGCUGUAGCUGCCUAAAAACAGUUAGCGUAGAUCCUCUUGGCAUCGCCCAUGUGCUCAAGUAAGGGUCUUAAAUGAAGUGGGCUAUGAUAAAUUUUUCCGUCUGUAGAAUUUAUCAGAAAUAAUCAGACUAGUAAAAGUUCAGGCCUGUCAUGCGGCAUAAACUUUUAUGAAACUUCAAUAGUAUGACUAUGAAUGUAGAUGUUUAAGUGGCGAUAUGUUUGGACGCGGGUUCGACUCCCGCCGUCUCCAUAC
rfam:Melissococcus plutonius ATCC 35311 DNA, complete genome.